rnacentral:piRNA from 1 species
UAGUCAAUUGGCAUUACGAUU